rnacentral:rRNA from 1 species
GAUGAACGCUAGCGGGAGGCCUAACACAUGCAAGCCGAGCGGUAGAGCAUUAUCGGCUACCUGUGAGCGGCGCCCGGGUGCGUACCACGUGUGCAACCUACCUUUAUCUGGGGUUCAGCCUUUCGAACGGAAGAUUAAUACCCCAUAAACUAAUGACUGCCAUCAAUUAUUAUUGAAAACUCUGGUGGCCAUACAUGGGCACGCGCGAGAUUAGAUAGUUGGUGAGUUAACGGCUCACCAAGCCAAUGAUCUUUAGGGGUCCUGAGAGGGAGAUCCCCCAGAAUGGUACUGAGGCACGGACCAGAAUCCUACGGAAGGCAGCAGUGAGUAAUAUUAGGGGAUGGGUGAGAGCCUGGUCCAGCCAUCCCGCGUGAAGGAUGACGGUCCUAGGGAUUGUAAUCUUCUUGUGUACAAAGAUAAACCUACCCUCGUGAGGGUAGCUGACGGUACUGUACGAAUAAGCACCGGCUAACUCCGUG